GAUGAACGCUAGCGGGAGGCCUAAUACAUGCAAGUCGAACGGUAACAGGGUAGCAAUACCGCUGACGAGUGGCGCACGGGUGAGUAACACGUACACAAUCUGCCUUAUACUGGAGCAUACCCCCAAGAAAUUGGGACUAAUUCUCCAUAAUAUAUCGAAGAGGCAUCUCUUUGAUAUUAAAACUCCGGUGGUAUAAGAUGAGUGUGCGUCUGAUUAGCUAGUUGGUAGGGUAACGGCCUACCAAGGCAACGAUCAGUAACUGGUCUGAGAGGAUGAUCAGUCACACGGACACUGAGACACGGGUCCGACUCCUACGGGAGGCAGCAGUAGGGAAUAUUGGACAAUGGGCGCAAGCCUGAUCCAGCCAUCCCGCGUGAAGGAUUAAGGCCCUCUGGGUUGUAAACUUCUUUUUUGGGGGAAUAAAAACCGGAAUUCAUUCUGGCUUGAAGGUACCCCAACGAAUAAGCACCGGCUAACUCCGUGCCAGCAGCCGCGGUAAUACGGAGGGUG
rnacentral:rRNA from 1 species